GAUGAACGCUGGCGGCGUGCCUAAUACAUGCAAGUCGAGCGAACAGACGAGGAGCUUGCUCCUCUGACGUUAGCGGCGGACGGGUGAGUAACACGUGGAUAACCUACCUAUAAGACUGGGAUAACUUCGGGAAACCGGAGCUAAUACCGGAUAAUAUAUUGAACCGCAUGGUUCAAUAGUGAAAGACGGUUUUGCUGUCACUUAUAGAUGGAUCCGCGCCGCAUUAGCUAGUUGGUAAGGUAACGGCUUACCAAGGCAACGAUGCGUAGCCGACCUGAGAGGGUGAUCAGCCACACUGGAACUGAGACACGGUCCAGACUCCUACGGGAGGCAGCAGUAGGGAAUCUUCCGCAAUGGGCGAAAGCCUGACGGAGCAACGCCGCGUGAGUGAUGAAGGUCUUCGAAUCGUAAAACUCUGUUAUUGGGGAAGAACAAAUGUGUAAGUAACUAUGCACGUCUUGACGGUACCUAAUCAGAAAGCCACGGCUAACUACGUG
rnacentral:rRNA from 1 species